rnacentral:rRNA from 1 species
GUCGUAACAAGGUUUCCGUAGGUGAACCUGCGGAAGGAUCAUUAUCGUUCCUUCACCGCACCCUGAGUACCGUUUGUCGUCUCGUCUCGGACGGACUGCGUCGCAAGACGCUUUCCGUUCGGGCGCACCCUGCUUCGGCAGAUACGAGCGUGUGCGGACGUCGCCUCUGUGCGCGUUUGCAUACGGUCCCCCGCGUUGUCGCUUGGCCUCGUGCUUUGCGUCGCGCACGUGACUAUCAAAUCACACAACUCCUGUCGAUGGAUAUCUUGGCAUGAGCAACGAUGAAGAACGCAGCGAAAUGCGAUACGUAGUGCGAAUUGCAGAAUUCAGUGAAUCAUCGAGACUUUGAACGCAUAUGGCACUUCCUCUUCCAGAGGAAGUACAUUUCCUCCAGUGGCGCCACCAUCCCCCUCGGGCGCGAUCCGAUCUCGGAUCGAUGCUCGGAGCGUGGUCGCUCGCCUCUCUCUGGGAGGCGGCCGACUCAAGUGGCGAGCGCCGCAGAUGUGCCGCGUGCGCGUCGCGACUUUCGGGUUGUCAACGCGGCCGAUGUGCUACGGAAUCUUUCCAUAUAUCAUCGGUGGAAGCGCGGCGCUGUCGGCGCGGCGCGCGAGUGUUGUGACUCGUGCGCCACCCCCCUAUUUACACACCGCCAUGGAGUGACGUGAGGCUACCCGCUGAACUUAAGCAUAUCACUAAGCGGAGGAGAAGAAAACAACCGUGAUGCCCCUAGUAAUGGCGAAUGAAGAGGGCAGAGCUCACGCCGCCAAUCUGGAGGCCCUUGCGGCCCCCCGAAUUGUAGUCUAGAAAGGUGCCAUCGGCCGCGACCGUCGCUCAAAUCCCCUGGAACGGGGUAUCGGAGAAGGUGAGAAUCCUGUACCGUGGCGGCUCGCGGCCGCACGAUGCACUCUUGCAGAGUCGGGUUGCUUGGGAUUGCAGCUUGAAGUGGGUGGUAAAUUCCAUCUAAAGCUAAAUAUUGGCUCAUGACCGAUAGCGAACAAGUACCGUGAGGGAAAGAUGCAAAGAACUUUGAAAAGAGAGUUAAAGAGUGCUUGAAAUCGGCAGGAGGAAACCCAUUUGCUGGCGGCUUCGCGUGUCUGAUUCAGCCCUCUCGAAGGGGUGCACUUUGGGCAUGCGGGUUCUCCGCGAUUGUUGCUGUGGCAUAACCCCCAGGUGGGCUUCGGUGAUCCUGGCUCUACCACGGCGGCGAUCCCGGCGGACGGAACGCCAGCAACUGACCCGUCUAGAAACACGGACCAAGGAGUCUGACUGUGAUGCGAGUACUUGAGUGGCAAGCUCAUGUGCGCAAUGAAAGUGAAGGGCGUGCCCCGCCAACCGACCUUGAUCUUCUGUGAAGGGUUUGAGUCGAGCAUUACUGUCGGGACCCGAAAGAUGGUGAACUAUGCGUGAA